rnacentral:misc_RNA from 1 species
UGGAGCAGGAUCAGCAAUAUUACAAUGCGUAUAUGCAGCUGGGAUUGCUUUGUGCUGCCAUAAAUAAUAAGCUGGCUAUUGAUUAUUACAAAAAUGCAUUGCGCAUCCAGCCAAAAAGUACAGAAGCGUGGUACGGACUCGGUAAGUAUUAUCAGGAUAUCGGAGACUGGAACAAUGCCGUUGGCACUUAUACUGCACUGCUUCAGUUUAAUAAUAAUAAAAAUGCACUUUUUAACAUGGGGGUUGUCCAUCUUGUUGGCCUGAAA